CCCCUCUCAGAAUCACACCUGGAAAGUUUCCAGUGUUCUACCAGUCUUGGCCAAGGGAGGGAGAGUCAAGCAGAAGCAUACCCAUUUCAUUCCUAGCUUGUCCAGUGGCCAGCGAGUGGAAGGCAAUCAGCUACAAGU